rnacentral:lncRNA from 1 species
CGAUGGUGAAUUUUUCAAAGUUCACAUUUGCGGCAAACAGAAUUAUUUUGAUACUUACUAAUCUAUUUAUUUUUCAUUUUACAGGUAGUUCAGGCUGCCAAGUUCAGAGAGCUAUUUAGUAUAGCUAACGAUUCCUGUUUUUCUUCACAGUGACAAGCUGCCUUAAGAUAACUCGAGAUGUGUUCUGAGUUUGAGCUCCUUUCUUCCCUUGAAGUGUCCAGUGUUAGCAGAUAAGUCGAGAUUCAGAGAUCAUUAUCGGUUAAUUACCAGCUAGUAUCCCAAAAAAUGCAAGGUCCACGGGCAUCUAAGACACCCACGGUCACAUCCUUUCCUGACCUUGCCGCAGGACAGGGAAUGCUCCUUUUUCCCUGUUCUCCAGGGAAUGCGCUGACCCCACUUCUCUUUACGGAGCGGGUGAUGCUUACGUUGUCCCUGUGUUCGUGUCCUCCGUAAGUUGGUGAGCAUUGUUCAGUGUUCUCCUUUUCCUCUUUCACUUCUCACCUUGGCUGUUACAGCUGCUGGGAAGCCGUCUGGGCAGCCUGAGAAGGGAUGUGGCUCUGGGCUGCCAUGUUGCGUGACUGCAGAGGGCCUCACUCACGCUAUGUUGUGGAUGGCUGCUGACCUGUCCUGAAGUUUGGCAAAGAGGCCACCCUUCUACCGCCCAGAAGCCCAACUCAUCUACUCUUGCUGUACCCCAUGUUUACCACUUCCCAUUGACUUCAGCAUGGAUUGUAAUUGUUUCUUUUCUUGUCCACAUCACCUCAGGAACGGGGACCAUAACACUGAACUUGACCCUGAGAGUAUACUCAGUAAAGGCCCCAGAGGCCUGAAUUGUGCUGUUGAGUUGGGUGGCUGCGGAUCCUGUACUAUUAGCCCAACUCAGUUGUGGUUAGAGGGAUGAUGGAGCUUCCUAGCAGCCAGAGCAAAGGUGAGUCAUUGCUAUCUGGUGAUUGCCGUUUGAUUUAUAGUCAGCACACUGCACCAGCGUGAAGCAAAGGGGUGGAAAGUAAAGUUGGCUUAGAGGCAGUGCUGUGUUCUCCUAUGGAGACAUAGAAAACAAUAGAUUGUACCAUGAAUGAACUCUGAAUAUUCACUUUUAAAAUAUCCAUCCUCCACCCACUGAACCCAAUGAAGUGGCUUUUUAACUUCUCUGGGAGGUAGCAGAGUGGGUAAUAUCUAUAUU